ensembl:lncRNA
GGGCAUUGCUCUGCACCAUGCAUUGCUCUGUGCUGGGCAUUGCUCUGUACCAUGUGUUGCUCUGUGCUGGGCAUUGCUCUGCACCAUGCAUUGCUCUGUGCUGGGCAUUGCUCUGCACCAUGCAUGCAUUGCUCUGUGCCGGGCAUUGCUCUGUGCCGGGCAUUGCACCGUGCAUUGCUCUGGGCAUUGCUGUGCACAUUGCAUUGCUCCAGACAUUGCUCUGCGCCUUGCUCCAUGCAUUGCUGUGCACAUUGCAUUGCUCCAGACAUUGCUCUGCACCGUGCAUUACUGUGCACACUGCUCCAGGCAUUGCUCCAUGCACUGCCCUGUGCAUUGCUCAGUGCAUUGCUCUGGGCAUUGCUCUGUACCGUGCAUUGCUCUGGGCAUUGCUGUGCACAUUGCUCCAGGCAUUGCUGUGCACAUUGCACUGCUCCAUGCACUGCUCCGUGCAUUGCUCUGCACCGUGCAUUACUCUGGGCAUUGCCGUGCACAUUGCAUUGCUCAGGGCAUUGCUCUGUGCCUUGCUCUGUGCAUUACUCCAUGCAUUGCUCUGUGCAUUGCUCUGCACCGUGCAUUACUGUGCACACUGCUCCAGGCAUUGCUCCAUGCACUGCUCUGUGCACUGCUCAGUGCAUUGCUCUACACCGUGCAUUACUCUGGGCAUUGCUGUGCACAUUGCAUUGCUCCAGGCAUUGCUCCAGACAUUGCUCUGCAUAUUGCUCAGGGCAUUGCUCUGCACCUUGCUCCAUGCAUUGCUCUGGGCAUUGCUGAGCACAUUGCUCCGUGCAUUGCUGAGCACAUUGCUCCGUGCAUUGCUGAGCACAUUGCUCCGUGCAUGGCUCCGUG